CCUACGGGGGGCUGCAGUGGGGAAUAUUGGACAAUGGGGGGAACCCUGAUCCAGCCAUGCCGCGUGUGUGAAGAAGGCCCUCGGGUUGUAAAGCACUUUCAGUGAGGAAGAACGCCUGGUGGUUAAUACCCAUCAGGAAAGACAUCACUCACAGAAGAAGCACCGGCUAACUCCGUGCCAGCAGCCGCGGUAAUACGGAGGGUGCGAGCGUUAAUCGGAAUUACUGGGCGUAAAGCACGCGUAGGUGGCUUGAUAAGCCGGUUGUGAAAGCCCCGGGCUCAACCUGGGAACGGCAUCCGGAACUGUCAAGCUAGAGUGCAGGAGAGGAAGGUAGAAUUCCCGGUGUAGCGGUGAAAUGCGUAGAGAUCGGGAGGAAUACCAGUGGCGAAGGCGGCCUUCUGGACUGACACUGACACUGAGGUGCGAAAGCGUGGGUAGCAAACAGGAUUAGAUACCCCUGUAGUC
rnacentral:rRNA from 1 species